rnacentral:lncRNA from 1 species
GUUGGAAGCAAGGACAGGGAUAGGAAGAGCUUCUAAACACUUGCAGGCAGGAGCAGUGGAACAGAAAGAAAUAUUACAUGAGUGACAUGACUUUACUUUUGUGAAGAGCAACUAAUGACUAGGAAGAGCAUGUGCAUUCAAACUUGUUAAUUCAUUGAUUUGAGUUGAAGGGAGGGGGACAUGCUUGGUGGAAAAGUUAAAGUGCUCCGGGUGAGAAAUUCACAGGGCAAAGAUGUUAAUAGCAAUGGGGAAAAAAAUAACGCUUCUCCAGUGCUAGGCAAACGGCCAUAUCCAUCAGGAGUAAAGAAAACGAGAGACAUAAGACAAACAGCUCAGAGUGGAAGAAAUAGAUGUUCUCAGGACGUGGCUGUAUGGUGUCCUGGUUUAGAGCAUCUGCCCUACAGUCAGAAUGCCUGCGUUUGAAAUAAUUUCUGCCACGAACUAGCUGUGUGACCGUGGGUGUCCUUGGCCAGGUGUGGUGGCUCACGCCUGUAAUCCCAGCACUGUGGGAGGCCAAGGUGGGUGGAUCAUCUGAGGUCAGGAAUUUGAGGCCAGCCUGAACAACAUGGAGAAACCCCGUUUCUACUCAAAAUACAAAAUUAGCUGGGUAUGGUGGUGCAUGCCUAUAAUCCCGGCUACUCAGGAGGCUGAGACAGGAGAAUUGCUUGAACCUGGGAGGCAGACUUGCAAGAGCCGAGAUUGCACUCCAGCCCGGGCAACAGAGUAUGACUUUGUCUCAAAAAAAAAAAAAAAAUCAGGUGUUCUCAACCUCUACGCAUGGACUAGUCCACAGCCUGUUAGGAACAGGGCAGCACAGCAGGAGGUGAGUGGCAAGCAAACAGGAGCGAGCAUGGCCGCCUGAGCUCCGCCUCCUGUCACAUCAGCAGCGGCAUUAGAUUCUCAUUGGAGCACGAACCCUAUUGUGAACUGAGUAUGCGAGGGAUCUAAGUUGCAGGCUACUG